ensembl:lncRNA
UAGGAACAGGAAGACGGGUCACCAGAUCUGUAAGUUCAGGAAGUGUGAUGAGCUGAAGAAGAAGGCUGGCAGCAUACAAAUAGAGAGACCUCCCUCAGUACCCAGUGGUGAAGCCUUCAGGUGGUUCUUCUAGAGCACCGUCUUGACCAGGGGGAUUCUAUGGGAAAGGACAGCCUCUGUGAGCCUUCUGGCCUGGACUAAGCCACUUUUGGAGGAAGGUCUGACCACAACCUUACCUCAACAAAGACCACAGUACUAGCAAUUCCGUCCGCCUUUUCUCUCUUCCUCUCCUUCUCUCUCAUCCUCUCAUUCUCCUCCUCCUCCAGACAGAGCCCUUAUACCUCAUCCCUUCUCCCAGGUCGAAGGCCUUUCAGUCAGUCAGAGCCGUGGUCCAAAAGCAGUUUAAGUGUGGUCGAACCACAUUCUCCUUUCUGCACUCAUGUUGAUCCUCUUCUCCGGUUUGUGGACCAGAAUGGACUAUGCUCCCGGGAUGUGGCUGUAGGUGCUGCUAAGGUUUAGGCUACUGCAUUGCUUUUCCCCCGUGGAGAGGAUAACAAGUACUAACUAGUACUAACUACACUAAUAACUAAGUCUCCCUUUGGUUCUUUCCUCGUCGCUGGUCUCUCUCUACCAUAGAAAUAGGAUCUAUUCAACGGACCUCCACAUUCAAGUCGAUCUUGGCAUAUUUGGCCGACCUUCUAUUUCUGGGUUCUCUACCUCCUUCAGAAGCUGUUCUGAACCACUACCCCGGGUUGCAUUCUGGGUAUGUGUAAAUGUUCUGAGCAGAUAAAGACGAUUCAGAUCCCUCAACUCUGGAUUCACUGAAACAACCUGGCCUGAAACCCAGUCAGACAGGCGGACAGACACCACCAGAAAGGUCUGCUGAUGUUCCUAGAGGAGUACUAAAACCAAUCUGACGGAGGACGUCCACAGACAUGGCACCCUAUUCUCUACAUAUUCUCUAUCUAGUUGGGAUAAAUCGUGUUUAGUGCACUGCGCUAUGUAGGGAUUAGGGCGCCCUCUGGGACACUUCGUUUGAAUAAGCCCCUCCUCUUUAACUGGCUGUCGCAUGGAUUAUAACGUGUUUUGGUUUUUUG